CAUUAUGAAGCUAGUAGCGUUAACCUUUUAAGUUAAAGAUUGAGAGCUCUAAACCUCUCCAUAAUGA
rnacentral:tRNA from 1 species